rnacentral:rRNA from 1 species
GUUCAACGGCCGCGGUAUCCUAACCGUGCGAAGGUAGCGUAAUCACUUGUUCUUUAAAUGAGGACUAGUAUGAAUGGCACCACGAAGGUUAUACUGUCUCCUUUUUCUAAUCAAUGAAACUGAUUUUCCCGUGAAGAAGCGGGGAUAAAAAUAUAAGACGAGAAGACCCUAUGGAGCUUUAAACUAUAUUACACUGGCUUAUACCCCCCAUACAUUUCAGAAUUACAAUACCCAUUCUAGCCUUCAUGUCUAUUAGUUUUAGGUUGGGGUGACCGCGGAGUAAAAAUUAACCUCCACAUUGAACGGAACUUAUUCCUGAGCCAAAAGCUACAACUUCAAGCACCAACAAAAUGACAUUAAUUGACCCAAUACUUUGAUCAACGAACCAAGUUACCCUAGGGAUAACAGCGCAAUCCAUUUCAAGAGAUCCUAUCGACAAAUGGGUUUACGACCUCGAUGUUGGAUCAGGGUAUCCCAGUGGUGCAGCCGCUACUAAAGGUUCGUUUGUUCAACGAUUAAAACCC